GGACGGAGGAGAGCCUGAAAGAGGAGAAAAUCAGUGUCAACGUGGUGCUGAGAAGCUAAGCAACAUGUUAAGAACAAAAGCUUGAUCACCUGGAUCAAGGCAGUAGAUAGGUGAGAUAAAUGAGAUAAACCUUAAUAAAAGCAAUUAAAUGAAAGGCUAUUUUCAAGCAAUAAUGAGAGAGGAGAAAUUCAAGACAGACCGCUUCUGAGGCGAUCGGGCAGUGUCAGUCUUCAGCUGCUAAGCCGAGAAGAUCUGGGAAGGAGUCAGUCAGACAGCCUUGGGCCAGAGUUCCAGGGGCUCUGGAAGUAGCUGCCAGUCUCGAGUAUAAAGAAGAGGAUGAAGGCUUAAGCAGGAAACUUUGACAGCUCCAAAGACCUUAAUCCUUAUAAAGAAGUAAUGAAGUUUCAACUUUGCACUCAGGUUUUCAAGAAACCUUUGCAACUUUAACAUAGCAUUUUGAGGAGUAAAAGUGACACCUGGAAAAAGCCAUCCUUGAGAACUAACUCCCCACA
rnacentral:lncRNA from 10 species